CUUUUCGUGGUGUAAGGGUAACGCGCUCUAUCUAGUGAACAGGUUGUCGCGAGUUCGAUUCUCACCGAGAAGA
rnacentral:tRNA from 1 species